rnacentral:rRNA from 1 species
UACGUAGGGUGCGAGCGUUAAUCGGAAUUACUGGGCGUAAAGGGCGCGUAGGCGGCCUUCUAAGUCGAACGUGAAAUCCCCGGGCUCAACCCGGGAACUGCGUCCGAUACUGGAAGGCUUGAAUCCGGGAGAGGGAUGUGGAAUUCCAGGUGUAGCGGUGAAAUGCGUAGAUAUCUGGAGGAACACCGGUGGCGAAGGCGACAUCCUGGACCGGUAUUGACGCUGAGGCACGAAAGCCAGGGGAGCAAACGGG